CUGGUCCAUGAAUGAUUAACCUUCGCUUCCUUUGAAGACUAGAGAACAAAACGCCGCCGUUCGAAGUCCCUUUUCUCGCUCAGGCAUUCAGCUCUCUCCGAGCUGGACGUGAUCUGCGGAAAACCCAAAGCACUUUGUUCCCUGCGCUGGAAUAGAUUGACUCUUGGUCAGAUGCGAUCUUCCGUUAUAAGAGAGACUCUCUUGGGGAGCACAGGAGAGAUGCAGCAACUGUCUCUUCAAAGUGCCUGUCUGUCCUGAAAUGAUGUCGCUCUGUGUUUGUCAAACGGGCAGACACAGCUGGUGGACUUCUCCCCGUGGGUUAAACAUUCUGAUUGAGAGAUCCUGGAGCUCUUGGCUCCUGUCUCCACAUAUUAAGGUGACUGUCUGCACUGUAACCAGCUCAGGGCCCUGCAGGAGGGAGAAUUAAUUAAUUAACUAGUUAAUUAACUGUCAGGUUGCCAAAUCUCUGGAGGAAAUGACUGAGGAGGAGUGAAUGCUGUCUCUAGACCCCCUGCAAUUGCUCUCCAGUGCUUGUGCCAAGGCAGGUCUCCCGUGGUCGGGGGGGGCUGUGUGCUCCAGCCACUGCUGGCACAGAGAUAUUCAUGGGCAGGUUCUGGUCCUUUUGCAUGUUUUUUCCCCUUAAUCUACAAGAUCCUGAUCUCUUCUAAAAGAAAAGUCUUUUACUGGUGUUCUGGAGGUGCUUUUUGCUGCCUUUUCCCUAUUUUCUUACCUCCUGGCCUGCUCACUGCAGUUCAAUGCACCUUUCACAAACACUUCAGAGAAACGAUCUGGGCAAGAGUGCUCGUUGGCUUGAGUUGGCUCAACCUGAAGCAAUGCAGGCACAAAUCUGGAGUGUCCCUUGCCCAUCCUUGUCCUACAAGUCCUUCAAGGUAUCCCGAGAGGUCUCCUUGGCAGCAAGAAAGACGCAGGAAAAGACGCCAUCGGGAGGAGGGUGGGCGUCGCAUUCCUCCCGCCGCUGGCUGCCCCGUGAUGGUGCUGACGCGGCGCAGACGCUUCGUCGUGGGAAGGUAAAGCUGCUUGCAUUGAUCUGAGAAAUGACGUCGGCAAGUGAAAGGUCAUCAAGGGGUCUCUUGGGUUUACUUUGUUGUUUUGUUUUUAACUGGGUGAAUUAAAUG